AUUGAAGUGCCUGAAAUCAAAGGAAUAUCGUGAUAGGAUAUAUAAUGUAAAUAUUUACCUUCAUUA
rnacentral:tRNA from 1 species